AACCAAGAAAUUUAGUCAUUCUUUAUGGUAAAAGAACAGUUAGGCAAUGAUAGAAAAUUAUUAGAUCUUUAGUAUAGGAGUAAAAUCUAGAUACUAAAAGUUAUACCAGACAUAAUUUAUCUAAGACGCUGAGGCUGUGAUAGCUUUAAGGGAAACUGGGAUUGGAUACCCCAUUAUUUUUAGUUGUAAAUUUAGUUUGAGCUUACCAGAGUACUACGAAUAAAAAGUUUAAAACUCAAAGGGCUUGGCGGUGUUUUAGACCUCUCAGGGGAACCUGUCUCGUAAUCGACAAUCCACGAUAAACCUAACCUUUAAUGGCAACUCAGCCUGUAUACCGUCGUCGUCAGGUAACUUCUUAAAAUAUAGUAGUUAGCUCGAGAAUUAUAUUAAUUAAAACGUCAGAUCAAGGUGCAGCCAAUGAAAGGGUGAGGAUGGGUUACAAUUACAUAUUUGUAAAUACGGAAAAACAUUUGAAAUGAAGUGUCUUAAAGGAGGACUUGAAAGUAAUUUUAUUUAUAUAAAUAGAAUGAAUAGGGCUCUGAAACGUGC
rnacentral:rRNA from 1 species